GCGUGCCUAACACAUGCAAGUCGAACGAGAAAGCUCCUUCGGGAGUUAGUAGAGUGGCGCACGGGUGAGUAACACGUGGAUAAUCUGCCUGAUAAUCUGGGAUAACAUUUCGAAAGGGAUGCUAAUACCGGAUAAGCCCACAGCCUCUUCGGAGGCAGCGGGAAAAGAUGGCCUCUUCUUGAAAGCUAUUGUUAUCAGAUGAGUCCGCGGUCCAUUAGCUAGUUGGUAGGGUAAUGGCCUACCAAGGCAACGAUGAAUAGCUGGUUUGAGAGAAUGAUCAGCCACACUGGAACUGAGACACGGUCCAGACUCCUACGGGAGGCAGCAGUGGGGAAUUUUGCGCAAUGGGGGAAACCCUGACGCAGCAACGCCGCGUGAGUGAUGAAGGUUUUCGGAUCGUAAAGCUCUGCCAAGAGGGAAGAAACCUCCAAUGGUUAAUAUCUGUUGGAAUUGACGGUACCUCUAGAGGAAGCACCGGCUAACUCCGUGCCAGCAGCCGCGGUAAUACGGAGGGUGCAAGCGUUGUUCGGAAUUAUUGGGCGUAAAGCGCGUGUAGGCGGUUUGUUAAGUCUGAUGUGAAAGCCCCGGGCUCAACCUGGGAAGUGCAUUGGAAACUGGCAAACUUGAGUACGGGAGAGGGAAGUGGAAUUUCGAGUGUAGGGGGUGAAAUCCGUAGAUAUUCGAAGGAACACCAGUGGCGAAGGCGGCUUCCUGGACCGAUACUGACGCUGAGACGCGAAAGCGUGGGGAGCAAACAGGAUUAGAUACCCUGCUAGUCCACGCCGUAAACGAUGGGUACUAGGUGUUGCGGGUAUUGACCCCUGCAGUGCCGAA
rnacentral:rRNA from 1 species